UAAGGAAUAUUGGUCAAUGGAGGCAACUCUGAACCAGCCAUGCCGCGUGCAGGAAGACGGCCCUCUGGGUUGUAAACUGCUUUUAUUCGGGAAUAAACCUACUUACGUGUAAGUAGCUGAAUGUACCGAAGGAAUAAGGAUCGGCUAACUCCGUGCCAGCAGCCGCGGUAAUACGUAGGAUCCAAGCGUUAUCCGGAUUUAUUGGGUUUAAAGGGUGCGUAGGCGGCCUAUUAAGUCAGGGGUGAAAGACGGUAGCUCAACUAUCGCAGUGCCCUUGAUACUGAUAAGCUUGAAUGGACUAGAGGUAAGCGGAAUGUGACAAGUAGCGGUGAAAUGCAUAGAUAUGUCACAGAACACCGAUUGCGAAGGCAGCUUACUAUGGUCUUAUUGACGCUGAGACACGAAAGCGUGGGGAUCAAACA
rnacentral:rRNA from 1 species